rnacentral:rRNA from 1 species
CCUACGGGCGGCUGCAGUGAGGAAUAUUGGUCAAUGGACGAGAGUCUGAACCAGCCAAGUAGCGUGAAGGAUGACUGCCCUAUGGGUUGUAAACUUCUUUUAUAAAGGAAUAAAACGAGGCACGUGUGCCUUUUUGCAUGUACUUUAUGAAUAAGGAUCGGCUAACUCCGUGCCAGCAGCCGCGGUAAUACGGUGGAUCCGAGCGUUAUCCGGAUUUAUUGGGUUUAAAGGGAGCGUAGAUGGGUUGUUAAGUCAGUUGUGAAAGGUUGCGGCUCAACCGUAAAAUUGCAAUUGAUACUGGCAGUCUUGAGUACAGUUGAGGUAGGCGGAAUUCGUGGUGUAGCGGUGAAAUGCUUAGAUAUCACGAAGAACCCCGAUUGCGAAGGCAGCUUACUAAACUGUGACUGACAUUGAUGCUCGAAAGUGUGGGUAUCAAACAGGAUUAGAUACCCUUGUAGUC